GCCUACAGCCGUACCACCCUAAGAACACCCAAUCUCGUCUGAUCUCAGAAGCGAAGCAGGGUCAGGCCUGGUUAGUACUUGGAUGGGAGAUCACCUGGGAAUACUGGGUGCUGUCGGCU
rnacentral:rRNA from 1 species